GUCUCUGGGAAAAUUAAAAUGGUAGAAUAUUGAUGUGUCUGGAGAACUCUAGGAAAAUAGCAUUCAGUGAGGUUUGGAGAGUCUUUGGAGAGUUUGGAAAGACUUAAUUACAGUUGCACAGAAAACCAAGCAAAGGCAAAAACAAAGGAAUCCAUUCCAGGAACAAAAAAUUGUACCAGAAAGGAAAUGUAGGCAUAGUAUACAUUCGUAGCUUAGCUAUAUUUAAAUAGUCAUCAUAAAUAUUAACUUAAUGCAAAGUUUGGAAUAUCUACAUUUAAAUACAGAAAAAGGACAGGGUUAGGAUGGUAUUUAAAAAGGCCAAUUCUUUCAUCCAUAAUAAUCAGUCAACAGAUAAAUACUGGAUAAUUGAUGCAUGUGGAAAUAAAGAUAUGAGCAUACUACUUAAAAAAUUAAAAGGUAAGUAGGAGAAAGAGCUAAUAGAAUUUAGGGAGAGGUAUUUAGAGGACUGUUUCUCACUAUAAUACUUGUAGAAACUAUUUGGCUAGUUAAUCUAAACUUUUACGGGUCUUAUGAAUUUAAGAAACUAAAACUCAGAUACUAAAAUAUUUAUAGGCAUGUUUUUGUGGACUAAAUUCAUGCUUCUGACCUUAAGGAAACCUCAUCCUAUUUCUUAUUAAAAUAAGGUAUAAAAUAUAUUCUAUAAAGUGCUGUAUCUUAAUAUUAAAAACUAUUUUAAAAUGUAAAAUAUAAAUUUAAUUGCUGGUAAGAACAUACUUUAUGAAAAAUUGCAACCUGAAGUACAAUUGAGCUGGUAACCUUAUUUGUGCCUAGUCACAUUUGAAGGGUGUAAGCACUCCCAUCCAUAACACCUGUUCCCACUCGGAGGGGGAAGGAAUGUAAAAGAAACUGGACACGUUUUGACUGGGAGACGUUUGGAAUGAGAAAACUACGGUAGUUGGAAGAAUGCCCACAGCUGAUAACCUUCACCCAACCAGUUGAGAACUGCUUUAAAAUAUCUUCAGUAAGAUGAAAACAUAUACUCCAAUGAAGAGGAAAGUUAAAAGAGAACAUUUACUAAAGAGUUUAAAAAUCCAACUAAAACCCCUCAACUAUUCCAAUGGUGAGUCAGAAAAAGAAAAAAGGGUCACCUAUUGUUCAAACUCGUGAACUGCAAUAUACGUGCUCAUAUAACUGCCUAAUUGUUAUUUCUUGAAAAGUGCUUACCACCAGGAAAUUCUGGUAUUUUAUUUAACAUACUGAGGAUGUCUGCAGAAAGGAAAGAAUUUUACAGAUGAAGGUGUUAUUUUAGUAGGAUGAUAAUCUUUCUUUUUCCAGUUGUCUGUUUCCCAGUUCUCUGCAGUUUGUUCUCUGUUACACACCUCCUUUUAGCUACUGGAAAUACCAAGAAGAUUGGGAAAAAGUUUUGAAUGUUCAUAGGAAGCCUCUGUGAUUAAAAUGAAAAGAAAGAUAACCAGGCCUGGAUCAUAGGUCUCUCCUUUCCCAGUCCCAACAAUGAUGGGUUCGCAUUAGAUAAGUUACCCAACUAAUAUACUUGUUCCUAGUUUUGUUUAUUAUGGUUCUUUUCAAAAACAAGAGGACACAUUUGAGGGGAAUCUGAAUCUGAGUAUUAUAAUUACAUAAGCAAGGAAGAAAACUAGCAGUAUACUUACAGACUGAUUUGCUUCUGAUUUUCCUCUCCUCCAACCCUAAAGGCUAUAUUUAUGUGAACAAAAUUGAAUGUGUAUCUGUUUAUCAAGGAGGAUGUAGUUGCAAGGGCUGUCUACACUAUAUUGUGUUUUCAGGUUGCAAAGACUUCAAAAUUAUCUCAGGUGACCACACUGUUUCACAAAGUAACAAAAAAGGUGGUAAGCAUACUCAUUCAUUCAGUUCUUCCCAUAUAUAUCCAGGUUUAUAUAUAAAUGCAAAUAUACAAAUGGUGUAGUCAUAUUUGAAGGGAAUUUUGAAAAAUCUAGCUCUGUGGGUUAUCUGAAUAUGCAACAUGAAUGACAAACCAGAAAUUUAAAUAGACACUCACUGUGUUUACUUAAAUGAGAUCAUCUGUAUAGGAUCACACUUCAAAAUGUGUAAUCAUGAAAAAUAAACACAGCUGAACAUAAGUCAGAGUUGAAUUUUAGUGUCUUAUUUCUAAGUCAAAACUCCCUCACACAUUCAAAAUUUUCUUAACAACUAUAUUUUUUUCACCUCUUUGAAUCAAGAGCAGACAUAAUAGCAGAUCUCAACAUAUUUUUC